rnacentral:rRNA from 1 species
ACCAACUUAACUUAAGCAAAAAUACCCCGUGAACUUAAACAUAAACC